CCACCCAAUCUCUAUAAUCCUAAAACCAGAUUAAGGCCUAACUUCUUAUUGCCAGUGAAUUAAGUGACACUAAUGCCUAACUGCUGUCAGUUUAUGCAAUUUGGUUUUAUUUCAUUGGGACAGUGCACAUAAAUCAACAAAUUGAGGAAUAAGCGGUGAAACUGGGUAAUCUUUUACAAGUGAACCCAGUCUGCCAAACCUGCAAACGAAAUUUUCCAAUGUAAAAUAUGGACAAAUGGAAGCUGUACUACCCCAAGUGACACAUUCAGCAGAAGUCAUUUGCAUGCUGAUGGAAUUACACGAAGACUCAAGUGUUCAACCAUUGGAGAAGUGAGGAUGACAGAUGUGGAAAAAGAAGAUCAAGACCCUCAUCCAGGCCAAAACUGGACUUAACUGAAUAAAGCCAAAGUUGUCUCUCACAAAC